AUGUACCUGGGACUACAGUGGCUGUGCCGUUUUGCAGUUGCACCAGCAAUGAAUGAGAGUCCUCUUGCUCCACAUCCUCACCAGCAUCUGGUGUUUUCAGUGUUCCAGGUUUUGACGACUCUAAUAGGUUCAAGUGAUCCUCCUGCAUCAGCCUCCCGAGUAGCUGGGAUUACAACCCACCAUCAUGCCUGGCUAAUUUUUCUAUUUUAUUUUGCAGAGAUGGGGUUUCACCGAGUUGGCCAGGCUGGUCUCAAACUGCUGACCUCAGGUGAUCCACCCACCUCAGCCUCCGAAUGUGCUAGGAUUACAGGUGUGAGCCACUGCGCCUGGUCAAUUAUUGCCUUUUAUGUAGGGCUUGACAUUCUUAGUGCUGAGUUCAGAAUCUUUUACUUGCAUUUUAUUCACUGAAAAGUGGAAUUAACCUAACUGGCUCACAAGGUAAAUAAAAAUGUGAGAUGUGUGUGGGAAAUAACCUGUUUGCUGACUGCUUGUAGAAGUCUUUUCUUCAGUCAGGGUUUUGGGGAAAAGAACUUAGGGGGCAUGUAGACUAGCUAAAAGAAAAACAUGGAAAAGAAGUCAAGGACUGGUGCAGGGGUUAUCUAAGAUAAUAGGCAAAACGGUCAGAGAAACAGGAAAACAAAUUAGACUAUAACAAAUGGAAAAUAUGUUGUUAAGUAUUUACUAAAUUUCCAAAACAGAAACACAGCAAACCUAGCUGUGUUUGUAUACUUUUGUGUAUCUAAGAUUAACUGGCUUUGUUUUAGCACUUAAUAUAUAUUAAUUUUUUUACAUUUCUAGAGAGCGUUUUAGAUAUUUAAUUAAUUAAUUAAUUAAUUUAUUUAUUUUGAGAUGGAGUCUUGCUCAGUCGCCCAGGCUGGAGUGCGGUGGCGUGAUUUCGGCUCACUGCAAGCUCCACCUCCCGGGUUCACGCCAUUCUCCUGCCUCAGCCUCCCAAGUAGCUGGGACUACAGGCACCCGCCACCACGCCUGGCCAAUUUUUUUGUAUUUUUAGUAGAGACGGGGUUUCACCAUGUUAGCCAGGAUGGUCUCAAUCUUCUGACUUCGUGAUCUGCCCGUCUCAGCCUCCCAAAGUGCUGGGAUUACAGACGUGAGCCACCGUGCCCGGCCAAUUUUUUUUUUUUUUUUUUUGAGACAGUUUCACUCUGUCACCCAGGCUUGAGUGCAGUGGCGGGAUCUCAGCUCACUACAACCUCUUUCCUCUGGGCUCAAGCAGUCCUCGCACCUCAGCCUCCCAAGGAGCUGGGACCUCAGGUAUGCACUACCAUGCUUGGCUAAUUUUUGUAUUUUUAGUAGUGAUGUAGUGUCACCAUGUUGGCCAGGCUGGUCUCAAACUCCUGACCUCAGGUGAUCUACCCUCCUCAGUCUCCCAAAGUGCGUGGAUUACAGGUGUGAACCACCACACCUGGGCUAGAAUGUUUUAGCUUUUUAUAAACAUGUUUUAUAAUUUAGGACUGAGUUUCAAAUAAUAAAAAAUAAUUGAGAGCUUGACGAAAAAGAAUUUAUUGCAAAGUAUCCCAUCAAACCCAGUGCAAGUAAUAUAUCCUGUAAUUGGAAGCAGAAUGGGAACUAUGGAAGUUCUAUGAAGAUUGUUUGGGACAUUGUCUAGAUUCUUUUUUUUUUUUUUUUUGAGAUGGAGUCUCGCUUUGUCGUCCAGGCUGGAGUGCAGUGGUGCGAUCUGUAAACUCCACCUCCCGGGUUCCCGCCAUUCUCCUGCCUCAGCCUCCUGAGCAGCUGGGAUGUCCGGCUAAUUUUUUGUGUUUUUAGUAGAGAAGGGGUUUCACCGUGUUAGCCAGGAUGGUCUCGAUGGUGACAUCAUGAUCCGCCCGCCUUGGCCUCCCAAAGUUCUGGGAUUACAGGAGUGAGCCACCACGCCAGGCUGGAUACUUCUUGCACGCCCAGCUGGAUACUUCUUACAUUGUUUGCAAAGCAGCUAAAUAAGGCUUCCAACAGCUCUUUAAUUUACUUGUUAUUUGUCUGAGCUUCUUGAGAAAGUACUGUUAUUUUGUUCCCUCUUGCUCCAUUUUUCCCACUCUUUAUUGGAUUAAGUAAUGUGCUCAGGGUUACAUGCAAGUCUAGCUCUCUAGCCUUGCUCUUCACCACUACUUUAUAUUAAGUUAAAUGAAACUAUGAGGUUAAAUGCAUUAAUGUGGUGGUAUUAACGACCUUACCUAUUAAUAUAGCUUAAAAGUUUUUUAAACAAAUAGACAUCCUAAAUUUUACUGCAAAAAACGUAACAUCCUUACGAAGAUGCAAAACUAGUGUCUUGAAACACAGGGGCCAGCAUUGCUUCACUUGGAAACAGUGGCCAUCAUUAGUCUUUGCUAAGCCCUGUGCGUCAGGUGGCAGCAGGGACAUUACUUACUUAGAGAGGACUUUCGUAAGAGCUGGUACUUCGUAACACUUAAUGCUGAUUAUAAUUAUUUACUUGGAUGACUUUUUUUCUUUUCCUACCUGAUUUUUGCACACUGACAUCUUUAAUGCUUCAGAGGGGU
rnacentral:lncRNA from 10 species